rnacentral:rRNA from 1 species
UAGGGAAUCUUCCACAAUGGGCGCAAGCCUGAUGGAGCAACACCGCGUGAGUGAAGAAGGGUUUCGGCUCGUAAAGCUCUGUUGUUAGAGAAGAACACGAGUGAGAGUAACUGUUCAUUCGAUGACGGUAUCUAACCAGCAAGUCACGGCUAACUACGUGCCAG